AGCGAACGCUGGCGGCAGGCUUAACACAUGCAAGUCGAACGGGCAUCCUUCGGGAUGUCAGUGGCAGACGGGUGAGUAACACGUGGGAACGUGCCCUUCGGUUCGGAAUAACUCAGGGAAACUUGAGCUAAUACCGGAUACGCCUUACGGGAAGGUUACUGCCGAAGGAUCGGCCCGCGUCUGAUUAGCUAGUUGGUGGGGUAAGUGGCCUACCAAGGCGACGAUCAGUAGCUGGUCNGAGAGGAUGAUCAGCCACACUGGGACUGAGACACGGCCCAGACUCCUACGGGAGGGCAGCAGUGGGGAAUAUUGGACAAUGGGCGAAAGCCUGAUCCAGCCAUGCCGCGUGAGUGAUGAAGGCC
rnacentral:rRNA from 1 species